rnacentral:misc_RNA from 1 species
GAUGAAGAACGCAGCGAAAUGCGAUAAGUAAUGUGAAUUGCAGAAUUCAGUGAAUCAUCGAAUCUUUGAACGCACAUUGCGCCCCCUGGUAUUCCGGGGGGCAUGCCUGUUCGAGCGUCAUUUCACCACUCAAGCCUCGCUUGGUAUUGGGCAACGCGGUCCGCCGCGUGCCUCAAAUCGACCGGCUGGGUCUUCUGUCCCCUAAGCGUUGUGGAAACUAUUCGCUAAAGGGUGUUCGGGAGGCUACGCCGUAAAACAACCCCAUUUCUAAGGUUGACCUCGGACCAGGUAGGGAUACCCGCUGAACUUAAGCAUAUCAAUAAGCGGAGGA